rnacentral:sRNA from 1 species
AGCGAUCCAACCACCUGCCCCGUACCCGGUCAUGGCACACCAGCGAUCCAGUCCGGUUCCCCCGACGU